UCCAGACUCCUACGGGAGGCAGCAGUGGGGAAUAUUGCACAAUGGGGGAAACCCUGAUGCAGCGACGCCGCGUGAGUGAAGAAGUAUUUCGGUAUGUAAAGCUCUAUCAGCAGGGAAGAAAAUGACGGUACCUGACUAAGAAGCCCCGGCUAACUACGUGCCAGCAGCCGCGGUAAUACGUAGGGGGCAAGCGUUAUCCGGAUUUACUGGGUGUAAAGGGAGCGUAGACGGCAUGGCAAGUCAGAUGUGAAAGCCCGGGGCUCAACCCCGGGGCUGCAUUUGAAACUGUCAGGCUGGAGUGCAGGAGAGGUAAGUGGAAUUCCUAGUGUAGCGGUGAAAUGCGUAGAUAUUAGGAGGAACACCAGUGGCGAAGGCGGCUUACUGGACUGUAGCUGACGUUGAGGCUCGAAAGCGUGGGGAGCAAACAGGAUUAGAUACCCCGUA
rnacentral:rRNA from 1 species